rnacentral:rRNA from 1 species
GUUUUUUAGAGAUUUAUAAAAAGUUUAACCUGCCCCUUGAAAUUAAUUAAAAGGGUGCGGUAUUUUGACCGUACAAAGGUAGCAUAAUCAUUAGUUUUUUAAUUGAAAACUUGUAUGAAUGGUUGAAUGAGAUACUAACUGUUUUAAUUGAAAAAUAGAAUUUUACUUUUUAAUUAAAAGGUUAAAAUAAAGUUAAAAGACGAGAAGACCCUAUAGAUUUUUAUAUUUAAUAAAAUAUUAAAAUUUUAGUUUAUUAAUUUUAUUAUUUUUUUAAUUAUUUUGUUGGGGUGACAAUAAAAUUUAAUAAACUUUUAUUUUUUUUUUACAUUAAUAUAUGAAUUUUUGAUCCAUGAAUCGUGAUUAUAARAUUAAAUUACCUUAGGGAUAACAGCGUAAUUUUUUUUUUAAGUUCUUAUUAGUAAAAAAGUUUGCGACCUCGAUGUUGGAUUAAGAUUAAUUUUAGGUGCAGCAGUUUAAAAUUUAAGUCUGUUCGACUUUUAAAUUCUU